rnacentral:rRNA from 1 species
AUUGAACGCUGGCGGCAGGCCUAACACAUGCAAGUCGAGCGGAUGAAGGGAGCUUGCUCCUGGAUUCAGCGGCGGACGGGUGAGUAAUGCCUAGGAAUCUGCCUGGUAGUGGGGGAUAACGUCCGGAAACGGGCGCUAAUACCGCAUACGUCCUGAGGGAGAAAGUGGGGGAUCUUCGGACCUCACGCUAUCAGAUGAGCCUAGGUCGGAUUAGCUAGUUGGUGGGGUAAAGGCCUACCAAGGCGACGAUCCGUAACUGGUCUGAGAGGAUGAUCAGUCACACUGGAACUGAGACACGGUCCAGACUCCUACGGGAGGCAGCAGUGGGGAAUAUUGGACAAUGGGCGAAAGCCUGAUCCAGCCAUGCCGCGUGUGUGAAGAAGGUCUUCGGAUUGUAAAGCACUUUAAGUUGGGAGGAAGGGCAGUAAGUUAAUACCUUGCUGUUUUGACGUUACCGACAGAAUAAGCACCGGCUAACUUCGUG